UUUCGCAAUGCCCGAAAGGGUGACGAAGCGACGCCGCGUGGGUGAGGAAGGCCUUCGGGUUGUAAAGCCCUGCCAGGAGUUAUGAAAUGUAAGUGUGUUAAUACCGUGCUUAUUUGACAAAGGCUCCAAAGGAAGCCACGGCUAACUCUGUGCCAGCAGCCGCGGUAAUACAGAGGUGGCGAGCGUUGUUCGGAAUUAUUGGGCGUAAAGAGCACGUAGGUGGGUUUGCAAGUCAGAUGUGAAAGCCUUCUGUUCAACGGAAGAAUUGCAUCUGAAACUGCUAAUCUUGAGUAUAGGAGGGGAGAAUGGAACUUCUGGUGGAGCGGUGAAAUGCGUAGAUAUCAGAAGGAACGCCGGCGGCGAAAGCGAUUCUCUGGCCUAUUACUGACACUUAGUGUGCGAAAGCUAGGGGAGCAAACGGGAUUAGAUACCCCGGUAGUCCUAGCCGUAAACGAUGGGCACUAAGUAGAGGGGUUUUA
rnacentral:rRNA from 1 species